CACACAAAGUCAGGGAUUAGACACAAACACAGUUAAGCCUGUGUAAGAUAAUGCCUCUAUUAAUUAAUGGAGGGUGAAACAUAAUUAGCCUGGGCCGUCCUCCGGCGCGGCUCCAUUAGACGGGCGAUGCAGGGAUGGAAGUGCUCUCGUGGGCGGCUGUCGGUGUAAAUGUGCUGUAUAUGAAUGCUGAGUGUGAGUGUGUGUGAAUCAGGCUAUUUGUGAGUGUGUUGGGAGCUGAGAGCCCUUGAGAGAGUGUGUAGGCAGAGAACCACACACACACACACACACACACACACACACACACACACACACGGGGGUGGAGAGGUAUAUGGAGUUAAGCCUGUUCAACGCCUGCCGAUUGAUCACUUGUGUGAAUAAGAGAGAAAGAAACACAUAGUGUGUGUGUGUGUGUGUAUGAGAGAGAGCGAGAGAGAGAGACGCUUAACAGAACAAGUGAUUUUAUAUCACAGUGAGAAAUCCUCUGCUUGUAGAAUGCAGCUCACUUCAGAUCAUGCCACUAAAGGACAAGUAUAGGAAACAAUAAAAAAGAGGACAGUGAAAGAAAGAAGAAUUUGGAAAAUAAAUGGGAUCAUAAAUGCUAGUGCUGACAUCUCAGGUAAGAGCCUUCAUCUGUGUGUGAGAUGUAUUUACUAAUGUAAUUCAAUAACCUGUGUUAACAUCACUCAAUCUGAGAGUUUGUGAAGUCUGUGCUUCCAGAGUCAGGAGCUGGAAACACUGCAGGAGACAGAACACACAGAUUGAUGUGUGGCUUUAUGAAGAUGGACUGAUGGAGAUCAGAAACAGAACAGAUGAUCACUGCAGUUCAAAUCACUGACAGAUAUAUCGAUAUAUGAAUCAUAUGAAUAUGUUUAAACUCGUGUGUUUUCUCUCUAGUUUCAGCAGCAAACAGGCGCGUUCACGUGAAUGAAGAAAAAGGCACCAUGAGCUCCGCCCCUCUGACACGAUUGGUCAGGACAAAGAGGCGCCGCCCACCUGAGCUCCCGCCUCUCUUUAAAGGGGUCGGACCGGCAACAUGUGACUUGAUUACAGCGUGGGAGUAAAAAAGGGGAGAGAAGAACAGAUCAGGACAGGAAUGAGGGGAAACUGGAGGAGAGGAAUGAAAGAAAGAGGGAAAUUUGGAGAUAUAAUGAAGGAAGACGUGAGGUUUCUGCUGGAUGAAUCACUCCAGAGCCGAUUCACUGGGAAAGAAGAGAAAGAACACGUGAAGAGGAAAACAGCAGGUCUGCAAACAGGUAUCUCACCUCGCGUUUGAUUGUGCAAUUGUUUGCCAGCUCAAGAUAGCCAACGAGGAACAGGUUUG